UUUAUAACGAAAUUUUUAAUCACGUUGAAAUUAUUAGUCGUAUUCCAUAUUCUUCGAGAUUUGUUUCUUUUCUCUUUCUUCUUCCUCAAUCACUCAUUUCUCCUCUCUUAAUUGAAGAAGCUCUCUAUUUGUCACGUAGAGGAACGCAAAUCUCUACUGCCAGAUGGACUGCAGAAUUUCACUUCUCUUUAAUAAUUAGAGAUUUG
rnacentral:misc_RNA from 1 species